rnacentral:rRNA from 1 species
UACGAAGGGGGCUAGCGUUGCUCGGAAUCACUGGGCUUAAAGGGCGCGUAGGCGGUCCGCCAAGUCAGGGGUGAAAUCCUGCAGCUUAACUGUAGAAGUGCCUCUGAUACUGGCGGUCUUGAGGGAAAUAGGGGUGUGCGGAACUUCCAGUGGAGCGGUGAAAUGCGUUGAUAUUGGAAGGAACGCCGGAGGCGAAAGCGGCGCACUGGAUUUCUUCUGACGCUGAGGCGCGAAAGCUAGGGGAGCAAACGGG